GGAUGAUAAUGUUUUUGGCAAGACAAUUGCAGAAUUGUUGCCAAAGAGGGUAAUUUGUGUGUGGAAGCCAAGGAAAUCACCAGCUCCGAAACACGGAAGCCCGCUGUGGAGCGCCGGAUAUUUGAAAGAUAAUUGGAUUGACACAGAUCUGCCAUCAACCAAAUUUGAAAGUAACAUGAAGCAUUUAAGUGAGCAACCACCAGUAUCGUCAAGGAAAUUCUUUUAUAGAGUGGAAAAUACUGUUACACCACAAGCAGAUAAUCCAAUUGUGUGUGUUAAACCUGUGACAAACCGGAUUCAUGGAUACGCUAGGCUGUUCAUAACACAGUGCGUCUCAAAGGGCUGUGCUGAUAAGUUGCAGAUCUUCUCUACAGAUUUUAUUGAUGAGGAUUUUGUUGAAGCGUGUGUUGGAUUAACACAGGCAAGGGUUGAAGGGAAGGCUUAAUUUGUCCAAUCUUCCGGAGUUCUUGCUCUCAUUUUAGAGAUUUUUAUUGUGAGCCAUUAUCUCAUGUGAUUAGUUUCUGGGUGGAAGAUUUGCCCCAUUAUCCUUAAUGGGGAACACUGUUCAUUUGUCUGUAUGUAUGCUAAAUUAUUUGUUUGUGAUGUAUAAAGGAUUUGUAUGUUGGUGUUGGAAGAAUCUGAUUG
rnacentral:lncRNA from 1 species